CUCUCUACGUCCUGAUCGAAACAAAACACAAAACUCUAGAAAACAAUUCUCUCUCUCACUCUCUCCCCGUCCUGAUCGACCCAAACCACAAAACCCUAGAAAACAAAUAGAUUUCUUUGUGGUCAGCUCGGAGGUGGACUGGAAGGAGCUGUGUGGCCAUGCUUCUAGUCGUGGCCGGAGGAUGUGCAGCCUAGCGUUGACUCGUCGGAGGAAGGCAAAGAAGAUGGUGGCUCCAUUGAGUCUACCCUGAUGGUCGGAGAUCGGUGACAGAAGAAACAGAGUCCUCCAGAUCCACUUUCUCUCUCCUCCUUCUCUUUCUCGUCUGUGCUUUAGGGUGGUCCAGUACUGUGGUCCUCUUCGGAUUCGUAUAGAGUCGAACGUUUCUCUACCUACUAUACACCGAGAUCGACUCAUUUAGUGAAAUCAGAUCUCAAAAUCAAUUGUUUCAGACUAUCAUGUAGAGUGUCGAAACUCGAGGCUUUGACGCUAUACUGUGGUAUUUGUCAUCGAAAGAAAUUCCGAAGAAAGGAAAACAAUAGAAGCUCUUGCUUUGUUGGGAUCGGGGGAAGAGAAGAAGAGGUUUUUCAUCAGAGGAUUUGCGAAAGCUUGUUUGUACCUGCAUAUGGCUUCUGGUCUUCUAGUACCAGAAGCCAAGCUUUUUUGCAUUUGGAGGAUUUGCUUUAUGUGGUUAAAGCCAAACCCCAUGAUCGCAGGAUGAUGUGUGACUCACCGAUUGUGCAAACUAAGUUGAGCCAAAGUGAUUCUCUCUGUAAAUAUUCUCAUUCUAGCAUCUCAUGUGAUUCUGAAUUUCAGUCAGAGGUUGUGAAAGAUGACACGUUGUCAAAGGUACAAAGAUUGG